rnacentral:misc_RNA from 1 species
AAAUUGCGCGUCGACAUGUGAACUGCAGGACACAUGAACAUCGACGUUUCGAACGCACAUUGCGGUCCAUGGAUUCCGUUCCCGGGCCACGUCUGGCUGAGGGUCGGCUACGUAUACUGAAGCGCCCAGGCGUUUCGGAGACUUGGGAGCGUCGUGUCGGGGCGCGAGCCCCGGCGCGUCUCCUUAAAUGCGCUUUGCGCAGCGCGCCCGUCGCCCUGGCGGUUCGCAUACCGGUACUGUGUUUCUCGGUAGCGUGCACAGCCGACUGGGCGCACGCGGCGCGCGUACACUUUCGUACAACGACCUCAGAGCAGGCGAGACUACCCGCUGAAUUUAA